GCGCUCGUGGUGAAACGGAUAUCACAACGAUCUUCGGAAUCGUCGUUCCGGGUUCAAAUCCUGGCGAGCGCGCAA
rnacentral:tRNA from 1 species